AUUGAACGCUGGCGGAAUGCUUUACACAUGCAAGUCGAACGGCAGCACGGACUUCGGUCUGGUGGCGAGUGGCGAACGGGUGAGUAAUGUAUCGGAACGUGCCCAGUCGUGGGGGAUAGCGUAGCGAAAAUUACGCUAAUACCGCAUACGAUCUAUGGAUGAAAGCGGGGGAUCGCAAGACCUCGCGCGAUUGGAGCGGCCGAUAUCAGAUUUGGUAGUUGGUGGGGUAAAGGCCCACCAAGCCAACGAUCUGUAGCUGGUCUGAGAGGACGACCAGCCACACUGGAACUGAGACACGGUCCAGACUCCUACGGGAGGCAGCAGUGGGGAAUUUUGGACAAUGGGCGAAAGCCUGAUCCAGCCAUUCCGCGUGCAGGAUGAAGGCCCUCGGGUUGUAAACUGCUUUUGUACAGAACGAAAAGGUUUCUACUAAUACUAGGAGCUCAUGACGGUACUGUAAGAAUAAGCACCGGCUAACUACGUGCCAGCCGCCGCGGUAA
rnacentral:rRNA from 1 species